GUGGGGGAUAUUGCACAAUGGAGGAAACUCUGAUGCAGCGACGCCGCGUGAGUGAAGAAGUAUUUCGGUAUGUAAAGCUCUAUCAGCAGGGAAGAUAAUGACAGUACCUGACUAAGAAGCCCCGGCUAACUACGUGCCAGCAGCCGCGGUAAUACGUAGGGGGCAAGCGUUAUCCGGAUUUACUGGGUGUAAAGGGAGCGUAGACGGAAUGGCAAGUCUGAAGUGAAAUCCUGCGGCUUAACUGCAGAAUUGCUUUGGAAACUGUCAAUAUGGAGUGUUGGAGAGGUAAGCGGAAUUCCUGGUGUAGCGGUGAAAUGCGUAGAUAUCAGGAAGAACACCGGAGGCGAAGGCGGCUUACUGGACAAUAACUGACGUUGAGGCUCGAAAGCGUGGGGAGCAAACAGGAUUAGAUACCCUGGUAGUCC
rnacentral:rRNA from 1 species